GGACUGCUUAGAAGCCUAAAGCCACCAAAUCCCACAGCAUUAAUAUCCUAGGAAAGCGUGGAGGACACUGGUCCCCGGGGGAUCCCUUCUUGGGUUUGAAGGCAUUUUGUACUCUAUCAGGCGAAAGGAAAUACACAUUAGCCGAAUACAGGCAGACUGCUCAGAUGCUAUAAAAGAUUCCCAGUAGAGCUCCUUAAAGCUUUUCUGACUGAUCUUCGACUUCAAGGUUCUGCCCAAGCAGUCGGCCCUGGAAGCCGAUAUGUUCGAACGGGGCUGACAGCUGGCCAGGAUCAAACCAGUCCGGACCUUUGACAGAUCUCUUGCACAGGCUGAGGAAAGGAUCUCAUACAGUCAUUCACACUGAAGUAUAAAGGUCUAAGAAGAUCUAUCAGCCUAUUCAGGGAUAUUUACAUUUUACCUGGAAGCUAAGCGUUGAGCAAGAAGAAUUAAAACACAGAAAUGGGAGCAGACGGCUCCGGCUCUCCUCCACCCCCCGCCGCACCCCGUCUGUGGUUUUUCAUGCCUCAAAAGCGGAUGAGGCUUCUACUCAGAUUCUGCCUGCACAUCUCACAUAAUCUUAGAAAUUUCUGUUCCAAAGUCUCUUCCUCUGGUCAGUUUCUUCUUCAUACAUGACUUUCCAAAGCCCAGGCCAUACUGUCACCUAUCAGGUGGCCAAGAGUGGCCAGAAGCCCCACGCCAAGUUAAGUUCACUGGGCACAGAAAGGUCUCCAAGGCACCUUCUGAAUCUGUCAAAGCCAAUUUGAAAAUGGGGGUCUGAGGCCAAAUGGGAAAGUUGAGGGGCGCACACAGAGAACAGACUGAGCCUCAGCCUGAAGGCAGUUCAUUACUAAUCCAAUGAGUAGCUCCAAACAAGCCAGACCACAGGGAUGUUGGCCAAGAGCACAAGGAAAGUUCUCUCUUUACUCAAGUCUGUAGCCUGCCCUAGAACAAAGGAGCAAAGGUUCCUCAAAACAUAAACACAGCUGACUCUCUGGAGGAAAAAAGAGUCUCUCUUUUUUAUCUGUAAAAACCAGAUCCCUUGGGGACCAGGCCUGAGAAUCUGCAUUUGUGAAAGGCUCCCCAGGAGAGUUGAUGAUCUAAAUUAAAGUGAUGACAAACAAAAACAGCAAAGUAGGGCACUUUUUGUUAGCUUUUGUCCUAUGGCAUUGUGAACAUCAACAAUAAGGAAUAUGAUAUUUAACUUACUUAUUGAUUUAUUUUUUAAAACAGCAGAAAGAUGCUGAGAUAGGAGACCAUGCUCAACAAGACAUCUUCAACUGCCCACAAAAGACCUGUUGUUUUCAUACUCAAAGGGUCACCAACGGUCAACAGCAACAAGUCCAAGGCAAAUCUGGUCAUGGCUUUGCUUUACUUUGUCUUUCCCUCCAUGCAUAAAAAACCCUUUUACCCAAGGUAAAUUACAGGGCAGAAGGCCCCUUUUGUUUCUACCUGGGGGCUGUUCUGAGGGUGAAACAGAAGGUCCCAAGCAGCCGGGAGGAUCCGAAGACGUCUGCAAGCUGGAGAGUGAACUUUGGGGACACCUGCGGACCCCACAAAGAACUGUCCUGGGACAUGGGAAAAGGCCAACUCUGGUGGACAGAGAAGCUGUAUCUGGCUCACCAUGGAGCCCAUGUCAGCACCCAUCCUGGUCCGUCGGGGGACUAGGAACUUAGAAUUAACAGAAUACCACCAGCUGGGGGACUGGGCUGAAAGUUACACUCACAGUUCCGGAAGCUAGAAGUCCGAGCUCAGAGUGCCAGUGCGGUUGGCUGGAGGGCCUCUUGUAGAUCUCGAACUUCUUGUAUCCUUAGUGAUGGCAGGGAUGAGAGAACUCUCUGGAGUCUCUCUGACAAGGGCACUAAUCCCUUUCCCAGGGGCCCUACCCUCAGGACCUGAUAGCUUCCCAAAGGCCCCACCUUAUAUCAUCCCCUUCUGGUGGGGGUGGGGGGUUUGGAUUUCAACACACAAAUGGGAGUGGGGAACAAACCUUCAGGCUGUUCGCUUUCCAGGCCAACCCGCCAAUCUCACAGUCACCCAGCCUUUGAGUCCAAGAAAUAGGAUGAAAAGAGAACUCGACUUGGGGUCCGAAAACAUGGGUCUGGAUUCUGACCCCGACACUUCCUGGCCACAGAGACAGCUAAGUCUCUGUGCUUCUGUUUCCGAGAACUGCCCAAUCCUCCCUCCCAGCUCUUGCGGGGCAGUAAGGAGCGGAAGGAGGUGUACUCUGCAUCUAUCUCCAAGGCCAUCAGCUCAUGUUCUUGACACUCCCUCCCGCUUGCCACCACAUUCCACCAGUCACCAAAUCUUGCUGAUUCUGAUCUCCUUUGGGUGCCUCCCGGACAUUCUCGAUUUUCUCCUUUCAUCAGGGCCACUGUCCUCCUAUCCUCCGUGUUCAAGCUGACCGGAACCACUGGUGGCUCACUGUGACAGUAUUUGGGCUCCGAGCCUUCUGGCAGUCUUCUGCGGUUGGAGGGAGUGAGCGCCCGAAGCCUCCUCUCGUUCCACCUCUCGACCAGGUGGCCCAUUACAAUGGAAGCAAGUCUCAGACCGAAUCCUGACACGCAGAGACACUUACCAGGCAGCAGGAACAAAUACCAGACCACCUGUUUUUUAAGCUGGGCAGAGACCCAGCUCUCCAUCUUUUCAUUCGGAGCAGAUGUGACGAGAAGCUAGCAGCAAGAUACGGUUAAUUGGUCCGAUGACAGGAUUCUCCUUAAGCAGAUGGACACGGGAUCUAGCGGAAUUCUAAGAGUUGGAGGCCAUUCCAAAGGAUUUGAGCUGCUUAGACUCAGCUCCUGCAAAGGCAAAGCUGCCUGUAUGGCUUGUCUAACAGAUCCAACACAUGUGGCUCAUUCCACCAAUGAAAAGAGACCGUCUAACACCCUGAUGCUAAUUAAUACACCUUCCGAUGCUCACUAGAAAUAAAUAUAAUGAAGUGGUAGCAUCAGCCUCUGGAAUAUAAUAGAAAUACUCCUAAAUAGCCCAAGAUACCUAGGAAACUUCAAAUAUUACAUAUUAAAUAACUGUGCCUAGGGUAGCAAUUAAACACACUUAUACACACAUCAUCGCCUCAUUGUUUAAAGAGUUCCUUUUUAAAAAUUAAAGAUAAUAUAACAGUGCCA